GUACAUUUCUGCUCCAUUAAGAGUGUAUGCUGGCUCCUGCAAUAGACCCUGUCACACAGCUCCUGCGUGAGGGGACCCCCCCCCUUGCCCUCCCUUCCUCCCUCCUUCCUUCCCUCCUUAGUCUGACCACACAGCCUAACACAAACAACCCAAAGGCAGAGGCAUACACACAGGCUCAGUGCCAGGACCACAGCACUGCUCCCUACCAUAACAGAACCAGCAAAGGGAUGAAGACGAUCGCUUUGCUAGAAGCAGAAUAAAAGGAUCUGGAGUCUGCAGGGAAGAAGUUGCAGGCAAUUUCAUGUCCAUGGUCGUCUGUGGCAGAAGGCUUCACUACAUACAGCAGACACUGACUGAGGAAGAUGCUUCUCCCACACCACCACCCAACAGCCUGAUACUGUGAGAGACGUCCCAAAGUGAGAAAAUGCAGUCUCCAAAAUCUCAUGGACUUGAAGGUUCGGAAGGACGGAGCUGCAUAUUAGUAGCCGAAUGAUGCGAGCCUACUGGAGAGAAGCUACUCCGCUCCUACCCAUCCACUAGACUCGGUGACGCGACGUAGAAAAAGUAUAAACAAUAAAGAACUUGAAAAUGGAACUUCGCUUCU